rnacentral:rRNA from 1 species
GAUGAACGCUAGCGGCAGGCUUAAUACAUGCAAGUCGAGGGGCAGCAGCUUUAUAGCAAUAUAGAGGCUGGCGGCCGGCAAACGGGUGCGGAACACGUACACAACCUUCCUUUAAGAGGGGGAUAGCCCAUAGAAAUGUGGAUUAAUACCCCGUAACAUAUCGGUGUGGCAUCACACUGUUAUUAUAGUUUCGACGCUUGAAGAUGGGUGUGCGGCUGAUUAGGUAGUUGGCGGGGUAAAGGCCCACCAAGCCUUCGAUCAGUAGCUGAUGUGAGAGCAUGAUCAGCCACACGGGCACUGAGACACGGGCCCGACUCCUACGGGAGGCAGCAGUAAGGAAUAUUGGUCAAUGGACGCAAGUCUGAACCAGCCAUGCCGCGUGAAGGAUGAAGGUCCUCUGGAUUGUAAACUUCUUUUAUAGGGGGCGAAAAAAGGGAAUUCUUUCUCACUUGACAGUACCCUAUGAAUAAGCACCGGCUAACUCCGUGCCAGCCGCCGCUGUAA